CCACUCUGGUGUGAGCGUUCUGUGACCGCCCUUGUAUACAAGAUCCAGGACUGAUUCCUGACGCCGUGGGAAGCCAGCACCGAAGUCUGUGCACAGCCCUCUUAGACGAGGCCGAAAGCCCUGGGACGUUUAAAUUCGGGUCCAGGCCGGUGUUUUUAGUCUGGUCCACGGCAGUGGGAUUCAGUCUGGCGAUCCGAAUCACCAGUGAGACGUCUGAGGGUGAGAAACACUAUUUUGGUUAGGAAUCGCCAUAAUGAACCGACAAAAUAAAAUAGGUUAGGAAUCGCCUUAAUGAACCGACAAAUAAAAUAGGUUAGGAAUCGCCAUAAGGAACCGAAUUAGUAAAAGCGCGCAAAUGUCUAUGUGUGUGUGUAUGUGUCUGGAAGUAAGUUGAUUUUACAGCACAAUACGCUGCUGAACUACUUCUAUUUUAUUUGUUUUCUUUGCUGAGGCUCACGUACUGGUGACAAAUGAGAACGGUUGAGUUUUAUCUCGUAAAACUGAUACCGCUUCAUUUUUUAGAAGUGAAGUAGAAGGGCGUAUCAGCAACCACUCUGAAGUCAAGCGUGCCAGUGACAGCCCAGCAAAA